GACGAACGCUGGCGGCGUGCUUAACACAUGCAAGUCGAACGGAAAGGCCCUGCUUUUGUGGGGUGCUCGAGUGGCGAACGGGUGAGUAACACGUGAGUAACCUGCCCUUGACUUUGGGAUAACUUCAGGAAACUGGUGCUAAUACCGGAUAUGAGCUCCUGCUGCAUGGUGGGGGUUGGAAAGUUUCGGCGGUUGGGGAUGGACUCGCGGCUUAUCAGCUUGUUGGUGGGGUAGUGGCUUACCAAGGCUUUGACGGGUAGCCGGCCUGAGAGGGUGACCGGCCACAUUGGGACUGAGAUACGGCCCAGACUCCUACGGGAGGCAGCAGUGGGGAAUAUUGCACAAUGGGCGGAAGCAUGAUGCAGCAACGCCGCGUGCGGGAUGACGGCCUUCGGGUUGUAAACCGAUUUCGCCUGUGACGAAGCGUGAGUGACGGUAAUGGGUAAAGAAGCACCGGCUAACUACGUG
rnacentral:rRNA from 1 species